rnacentral:rRNA from 1 species
AACGAACGCUGGCGGCAUGCCUAACACAUGCAAGUCGAACGAAGGCUUCGGCCUUAGUGGCGCACGGGUGCGUAACGCGUGGGAAUCUGCCCCUCGGUUCGGAAUAACAGUUAGAAAUGACUGCUAAUACCGGAUGAUGACUUCGGUCCAAAGAUUUAUCGCCGAGGGAUGAGCCCGCGUAAGAUUAGGUAGUUGGUGGGGUAAAGGCCUACCAAGCCGACGAUCUUUAGCUGGUCUGAGAGGAUGAUCAGCCACGCUAGGACUGAGACACGGCCCAUACUCCUGCGGGAGGCAUCAGUGGGGAAUAUUGCACAAUGGGCGAACGCCUGAUCCAGCCAUGCCGCAUGAAUGAUGAAGGCCUUAGGGUUGUAAAGCUCUUUUACCAGGGAUGAUAAUGACGGUACCUGGAGAAUAAGCUCCGACUAACUCCGUGCCAGCCGCCGCAGUAA